AAGCAGAGAUGUUUACGCAGGUACGAUAAAUAAAUGAAUAUUGGACUACAUCACAUAGGUCUUGGAGAACAAAAGAGGCUUUGCACUGAAAUACCUCCAAAGGUGGAAUCAAAUCCAGUGUUGAUCUUCUUCAGCUGAAGAGUUUGUCAUUACCUUGGGAAAACAAAGUCUCCAUUGCAUGCUCAGUUCCCUAUGGAUAGCUGAGGAUUGCUGUAAUUUUGAAACCAGUGUUCCAAUCAAAAGACGAAUCUUUGACUGACCUCAUUGAGAUGAAUGAAGAAUAUGGCAGAUGAAAUGAGAAUGAGGGGAUUAUCCAUCUGAAAACUGAGGACAUCCAGUCAAAGUUCAUCUUAUUUUAAUCUUCAUGUGGAUGAUUGAUCAUACCCGCCAGCUGGCUAAUAUCAUAAUUAACAAAGUUGCUACCACGUCUGAGAAGUAUAAUCGAAAAAUUUACCAGCAGUGUGAUGCCAUUGUCACAAGAUCAUAAGCAUUGCAGAGUCGACUUUUGCACUCGGGAGCUGCAGAACUAUGUAGAUGUGCUGAGAAGGGACGCACUUGUACAGCUAAAGUGAGAUGCGAUUGCAGAAAGAGAGAAUUUAGUUCUUGCAAAACUAGUCCAGUGGCAAAGUGCAGAACUGAUGUGGCUGUCAUGGUAAAGGAAUUCCGGAAUAAAGAACCACUGUCUGAAGCUAAUCUUUAUAUGCAGGAGCUAGAUGAUAUCAAUGGAAAAAAAUGGGAACUCAUUAAAGAGGUUCAGAAUUUAUGGAAGACUAGCUACAAACUGACAAAGCUAUUUUGUCAACUAGACUUGCAUAGCCUUUUGAAAGUGCCCACAACUAUGAAAACAAAAGCUGAAAAAUUUAAAAUCAACAUGUCACUUAUAAAAGCUCUGUGUACACCUGGGAUUUAGCCACGACUCUGGAAUAUGAUGAGUCAAAAGGUUCUGCUGGAGGAUCACAUUGUGAAAACUACAGCCAUGAAAGGCCCUCCAUUUAUUGCACCCUUCAAAAACGAAAUAUUAGCAUGGGAGGCUAAGCUGCGUGACUAAUGCAGGAGAUUAUGGAAACCUGGCUGCAAGUUCAAAAGGCCCUGGUGAUGCCGGGAACCCAUGUUUUGCUCACACGAUACAUGUAACCAAAUAUCGGUAGAAGGAAAGCACUUUGAAGUUGUCAGUAGGAACUGGAGGUUAAUAAUGAAGGAGUCAGUGAAGGAGGCCCAUGGCAUGAGGGUUAUCUCACAGCCCCAGAUGCUGGAUAAGUUGAAGGAGGCAAAAUCGCUUUUGGAUGACAUUCAGAAAGACCUGAAUGAUUAUUUGGAGAAGAAAAGACUAUUCUUUCUAAGGUUUUUUCUUUCUGUGCAACGAUGAGCUCUUAGAAAUCCUUUCUGAGACAAAGGAUCCACUCCGAGACCAGCCACACCUAAAGAAAUGCUUUGAAGGAAUUGCCAAGCUCACUUUUAAUCAUGAGAAAGAAAUUACUCACAUGGAGUCAGCAGAAAAUGAAAAAGUAGAGCCCGUGCUGCGAAUAAUUCCAGCAAGUGCCAAGGGGCUAGUUGAGAAAUGGCUU